GCUACGGGAAGCAGCAGUAGGGAAUCUUCCACAAUGGGCGCAAGCCUGAUGGAGCAACACCGCGUGAGUGAAGAAGGGUUUCGGCUCGUAAAGCUCUGUUGUUAAAGAAGAACACGUAUGAGAGUAACUGUUCAUACGUUGACGGUAUUUAACCAGAAAGUCACGGCUAACUACGUGCCAGCAGCCGCGGUAAUACGUAGGUGGCAAGCGUUAUCCGGAUUUAUUGGGCGUAAAGAGAGUGCAGGCGGUUUUCUAAGUCUGAUGUGAAAGCCUUCGGCUUAACCGGAGAAGUGCAUCGGAAACUGGAUAACUUGAGUGCAGAAGAGGGUAGUGGAACUCCAUGUGUAGCGGUGGAAUGCGUAGAUAUAUGGAAGAACACCAGUGGCGAAGGCGGCUACCUGGUCUGCAACUGACGCUAGACUCGAAAGCAAC
rnacentral:rRNA from 2 species